rnacentral:rRNA from 1 species
AGUGAACGCUGGCGGUAGGCCUAACACAUGCAAGUCGAACGGCAGCACAGUAAGAGCUUGCUCUUACGGGUGGCGAGUGGCGGACGGGUGAGGAAUACAUCGGAAUCUACUUUUUCGUGGGGGAUAACGUAGGGAAACUUACGCUAAUACCGCAUACGACCUACGGGUGAAAGCAGGGGAUCUUCGGACCUUGCGCGAUUGAAUGAGCCGAUGUCGGAUUAGCUAGUUGGCGGGGUAAAGGCCCACCAAGGCGACGCUCCGUAGCUGGUCUGAGAGGAUGAACAGCCACACUGGAACUGAGACACGGUCCAGACUCCUACGGGAGGCAGCAGUGGGGAAUAUUGGACAAUGGGCGCAAGCCUGAUCCAGCCAUACCGCGUGGGUGAAGAAGGCCUUCGGGUUGUAAAGCCCUUUUGUUGGGAAAGAAAAGCAGCAGGUUAAUACCCCGCUGUUCUGACGGUACCCAAAGAAUAAGCACCGGCUAACUUCGUG